rnacentral:lncRNA from 1 species
GCCGCAGCCGAGCGGCCGUGGGCCCAGGCGGCGGGCGGAGACGCGGCGCCGUCCCCGCUGCGGUCCGCGUGAGACUUGUUUCUUUGGUACCAGGGAUCGAACUUGGGACCUUGCGCUUGCGCAGCAGGAGCCAGAACCACUGAGCUAAAUCCCCGGCAUAGACUUGUUUCUUAUAUGUGAUGCCAUUCCAGUACUGGACUCAUGGAGGCUGAGCAUUUAUUCAGCAGAAGAAUACACAUUAAAAUCAACUAAGGGAAGAGACAUAUUGGUGGAGUUCUGGAGGGUUCCUGAUGCUGAGCUUCCAGUUUUCAUCUCUCAUAAGAUUCACAGGGAGUGACUCCUGUUAGUCAUGUACAGUAAUACGCGUG